UACCCCAAAAAAGUCACCGGCUAAAUUACGUGCCAGCACAGCCCCGGUUAUAUACGAAGGUUUGCAAGCGUUUAUUCGGAAUUUAUUGGGCGUUAAGAGCACCCCAGGCGGUUUUUUUUAAUUUGAGUGUGAAAGCCCCCGGGCUCAACCUGUGGAAUUUCAUUUUAAAACUGGCACGCCUAGAGUCCCGAAGGAGGGAAGGUGGAAAUCCCGGUGGUAUGCCGUGAAAUGCGUAGAGAAUCUGGAGGAAUCCCAGUGGCGAAGGGCGGCCCUCCUGUCUAAAAUUGACCUCAGGUGCGAAAGCGUGGGGAGCAAACAGGAUUAGAUACCCUGGUUGUUCCCCCCCGUAAACGAUGUCGAUUAAGGGUUUGGAGGCUUGCGCCCCUUUUUUCCGAAGAUAACGCGCUAAAUCCACCCCCCGGGGGGGUCGGCCCCCAAGGUAAAAAUCCAAAGAAUUGACGGGGGCCUCCCCAACGGGGGGGCAUGUUGUUUAAUUUGGUGCAAACCGGAAGAACCUACCCGGGCUUUGCACUUCUUGAACCACCCCUAGAUACGGGGGUUCCCUCCGGGAACAGAACACACGUG
rnacentral:rRNA from 1 species